rnacentral:rRNA from 1 species
CGGAAGGAUCAUUACACAAUGGAGUGAAAUUCCCCUUCACGUGCCAGUCUACUGCACGGCUGGAGGCUGAUGUCCUCCAGCGCUGGAGGAUAGCCCCGGCGGCUCCCUGCCAUCACACACUCUGCGUACCAAUCCCUGUUGCUUCCCCGGGGAGCGUCCAACAACCACCCGGGGGAGGACCCCAACUAGAGCACACGAUGCCGACCAACCCGCCUGGACAAUGCAGUCCAACAAUCGUCUGACUUUCAGCGACAAACCUAAUUCAAAGGAAAACUUUCAACAACGGAUCUCUUGGUUCCCGCAUCGAUGAAGAACGCAGCGAAAUGCGAUAAGUAAUGUGAAUUGCAGAAUUCAGUGAAUCAUCGAAUCUUUGAACGCACAUUGCGCCCCCUGGCAUUCCGGGGGGCAUGCCUGUUCGAGCGUGUCCGAGAGGAAGACUCACACGGAGAAUCGUGUGGUGGUGGCGGCGGCGGCGGGCCUGACAGGGCGGCCACCCCGGCGAAAUCGAUGGGCGGAGGCCGGCCACGUUGCUGAGCGUGAUAUUUUGCUAUCGCUGAAUCGCCUGGCAGUGGUUUCCAGCCACAGGCCACCUCGAGGGGUGGCGAGGGAGAGAGAGAUUGACUUUGGAACUCCUCGAAUCAGGCAGGGAUACCCGCUGAACUUAAGCAUAUCAAUAA